AGAUAAAAUUAAUUGGUCAUUUCUUGUAAUUGUGAUUUCAAAAAUAAUACAUUAUAUUAUCAAACAUCAAUUUGGGGUGAUUUACAUUUUUCAAUAUUUAGGUCAUAAGUUAAUGUAAUUAGGUACACUCAUUAUCUCGUAAAGUAUUAACUUUUUUCGAGAUUUGUUUUCUAGAAUUACUACAUGAAAAAAUCAGAGUAAGUCCUCUGGUAAAAA